rnacentral:rRNA from 1 species
GUCCAAGAAAAGCUUCUAGGGUUGAAGCACACUGACCGUACUAAAACUGACACAGGUAGGCGAGACGAGUAGUCUAAGGCGCUCGGGAGAACGGUGGUUAAGGAACUCUGCAAAAUGGCCCCGUAAGUUCGCGAUAAGGGGCGCCUGCUUCGGCAGGCCUCAGAAAAUCGGCUCCUGCGACUGUUUAUCAAAAACACAGGUCUCUGCUAACUCGUAAGAGGAUGUAUAGAGACUGACGCCUGCCCGGUGCUGGUAGGUUAAGGAAGACGGU